UGCGUAGGGUGCCGAGCGUUGUCCGGAAAUUAUUGGGCGUAAAGAGCUCGUAGGCGGUUUGUCGCGUCUGCUGUGAAAUCCCCGAGGCUCAACCUCGGGUCUGCAGUGGGUACGGGCAGACUGGAGUGCGGUAGGGGAGAAUGGAAUUCCUGGUGUAGCGGUGGAAUGCGCAGAUAUCAGGAGGAACACCGAUGGCGAAGGCAGUUCUCUGGGCCGUAACUGACGCUGAGGAGCGAAAGUGUGGGAGGCGAACAGG
rnacentral:rRNA from 1 species